GACGAACGCUGGCGGCGUGCUUAAGACAUGCAAGUCGAACGGGGUCCAUCCUUCGGGAGAAGACCUAGUGGCGAACGGGUGAGUAACACGUGAGCAAUCUGCCCCGAAGUCAGGGAUAAGCGAGAGAAAUUUCGUCUAAUACCUGAUGUCGUCUUUUCACCUCAUGGUGAGUUGACGAAAGAUUUAUCGCUUCGGGAGGAGCUCGCGGCCUAUCAGCUUGUUGGUGGGGUAACGGCCUACCAAGGCGUCGACGGGUAACUGGUCUGAGAGGAUGAUCAGUCACACUGGGACUGAGAUACGGCCCAGACUCCUACGGGAGGCAGCAGUUAGGAAUCUUGCGCAAUGGGCGAAAGCCUGACGCAGCAACGCCGCGUGAGGGAUGAAGGCUCUCGGGUUGUAAACCUCUUUCAGCAGGAACGAAAUUGACGGUACCUGCAGAAGAAGCUCCGGCCAACUACGUGCCAGCCGCCGCCGUAAAAC
rnacentral:rRNA from 1 species